GCUACACCGUUAUUUUUCAAUGAAAAUAGACUCAACAAGCUUUAAUUCCAUAUAUCAUUCACCCUCUAAUUCAUUUUAUACUAUCUUGGGUGAUUUUUCAAAGUCACGUCACUGUUGCUGCCUGAAUUCUGUUUCUUUGCAAAAUUUCAUCCUUUCAUGAUUUCCAUACAUAAUUUAUCACCUAGACUCUUAUAACAACAAAUACCUUCAUACUUAACCAUUUUAAUAACCAUACAUCAUCAAAUACUUACACACCAUUCUUUAGCAAAAUCAUAAUCACAAACAUACAAAAUAACUAAAUCCCUAUACAUGCCAUAACUCAAACGUGAUUCGAUAUAAAAUACUGAGCAGUUGUGGUUGAUAGUGUGGACGAUCUCCGACUUCUUUAGGAUCCUUGAAGUAGCUUUGCAAUACU
rnacentral:lncRNA from 1 species